rnacentral:rRNA from 1 species
UACGUAGGCAGCGAGCGUUGUUCGGAUUUACUGGGCGUAAAGGGUGUGUAGGCGGUUGUUUAAGUUUGGUGUGAAAUCUCCCGGCUCAACUGGGAGGGUGCGCCGAAUACUGAAUGACUUCGAGUGCGGGAGAGGAGAGUGGAAUUCCUGGUGUAGCGGUGAAAUGCGUAGAUAUCAGGAGGAACACCGGUGGUGUAGACGGCUCUCUGGACCGUAACUGACGCUGAGGCGCGAAAGCUAGGGGAGCAAACAGG